ensembl:lncRNA
UAAAAGACCAAGAGCCAAUGGCUUCACCCACCAAUUUAGCUAUAUACAAAUCUUUCACCUAGUCUCAGAAAAUUAAGGAAUCUUGACUUUAUCUUAGCAAAAAUUAUGACAAUAGCUUUACUUCUCUAACUACUAACUCCUAAACUUUCUAGCAUAACGCCUAAUGAGACUUCAGUAAAAAUUAAACUGCCACAUCCUAGAGAACAAACUUAUGGACACCAAGAGGGGAAAGUGGCAGGGGGUGGUGGUGUGAUGAAUUGGGAAACUGGGAUUGACAUAUAUACACUAAUAUGCAUACGAUAGUAAGAACCUGCUGUAUGAAACAUAAAAUUCAAAAAAACAUUACAUCCUUUUUAAAAAACAUCUGGUCAAAUGACAUUCUAUGCAGCUCAAUGUGAAUUUAAACAGAGCUAUGUACUAAAACUGAUUUUUCUGUAGGUUCCCUUCCACCACUCCGGCCCUCUAAUAGCUCCUCCCUGCUGGUAUUCCAGAAACCCUCCCACUCUCAGGUACCAAAGCCAAACUCAGUAUUUUUAAAGUCAGUAGUUUACAAGUAAAUCUACAUCUAAGCGUCCACAUGGAAAAUUCUAACUGCAACCUCCAACUUGUCUGGGUUUUAUUUAUACUCACCCACUACAGUUCUAUGUUAAGGCCACCUUUUACUGACAUUGCUUACCUCUAGGUUACCACAGAAUCAUCUGGUAGACCAAAACUUUGAUCCCUCACACCCCACCCCUAAUUAAAAAGAAUCUUCUGCAAGCACUUAUUAAAAAGAAAUAAAUUACACUAUUUGAGAAUGCCAACAAUUUUAUUGAAAGAAAAGUGCAAUGAAACUUGUCGAAAGCUUAAAAGGGAGAACUUAGACACCUCCCCUCAAGCGCAGGACCAGGUGCAGAGUGGAUUCUUUCUGGAUGUUGUAGUCAGACAGGGUGCGCCCAUCUUCCAGCUGUUUCCCGGCAAAGAUCAACCUCUGCUGGUCUGGGGGGAUGCCCUCCUUGUCCUGGAUCUUCGCCUUGACAUUCUCGAUGGUGUCACUGGGCUCCACCUCCAGGGUGAUGGUCUUGCCGGUCAGGGGUCUUCACGAAGAUCUGCAUACCACCCCGCAGACGAAGGACCAGGUGCAGGGUCGACUCUUUCUGGAUGUUGUAAUCAGAAAGAGUGCGGCCAUCUUCCAGCUGUUUGCCUGCAAAGAUGAGCCUCUGCUGGUCAGGGGGGAUGCCUUCCUUAUCCUGGAUCUUGGCCUUGACGUUCUCGAUGGUGUCACUGGGCUCCACCUCCAGGGUGAUGGUCUUGCCGGUCAAGGUCUUCACGAAGAUCUGCAUACCACCCCUCAGACGGAGGACCAGGUGCAGGGUCGACUCUUUCUGGAUGUUGUAAUCAGAGAGAGUGCGGCCAUCUUCCAGCUGCUUGCCUGCAAAGAUGAGCCUCUGCUGGUCAGGGGGGAUGCCUUCCUUAUCCUGGAUCUUGGCCUUGACGUUCUCGAUGGUGUCACUGGGCUCCACCUCCAGGGUGAUGGUCUUGCCAGUCAGGGUCUUCACGAAGAUCUGCAUCCCACCUCUGAGGCGAAGGACCAGGUGCAGAGUGGACUCUUUCUGGAUGUUGUAGUCAGACAGGGUGCGCCCAUCUUCCAGCUGUUUGCCGGCAAAGAUCAGCCUCUGCUGGUCUGGGGGGAUGCCCUCUUUUUCUUGGAUCUUCCCCUUGACGUUCUCGAUGGUGUCACUGGGCUCCACCUCCAGGGUGAUGGUCUUACCAGUCAAGGUCUUCACGAAGAUCUGCAUUGUCUGUUGCAACAAAAAAAUUAACACAAAAAAUAACCCCAGCGUUUAACAGAUAAUUCAGAGGUCAACACAUACCUAAUGCUACAAAAUUAUAUGUCACUAUAUACUAACCAAAUGACUAACGUGCCCAAAAACUCAAAAGCUUGACAAAUAAGGUCACAGCCAACGUUUCACGCACUUAAGAAAGAAAAGCAGUCAAUUCGCGGGCCUCACUUACCCUCCCCCCCCACUGGCUGUCUGUCCCCUGCCAACACGGCAGCGACCACCCCAGGCCCAAACCCUGUGCCCCGAGAACAGAAAAACUCUCCCUCCACACAUACCAGCAGGCGGCCCCACCCUCGAUUACGAGCCCACGGAAGGGAUGACGUCUCGUAACCGCGUUGGCGAGCGGGUCCCCUCCCCCCUCGCGGGUGCAGGACGGCUCCGUGGCAUCGGCAGUUACUGUCCCCUUACUGGGACGGGAAACCGAGUUCUCGCUCGAGUCAAACCGUGACCUAAUGUUCGCUUCCCUCACACGCUGCCCAACCCCGUUCCCCAAAAAGCUGGGCCCCGCCGCCACGGAGGCCUCACGGGCCUCUCGCGUCUCUCGCGUUUCCGUUUCACCCGCAGUCCCCUCCCCCGUCCCCCAUCUUCUCUCUCCCACCUCAUAGCCCGCUUCGGAGUCCGGCUUCUCCCACCGAGGGACGGGAAACGGACGCCAUUUUGCCGCGUUCCUCCCUCUCAGGGCUACCCUGCUGCUAGCGGGCCCCGGGUGACUAAAGGCCUCGGCUGCUCCCUCUGCCGCAGCGGGCAAGUCGACACCCCGCGCCCCCCGCGGCCGCGAGACCCCCGGGCCCCCUCCUUACCAAACGGUGGUGACGGCAGCAAACGCAGAAAAACCGCAACUCGGCUUCCAAACUUCACGAAGAUGCCUGCGCACCGCUCCCGCCGGCGCUUCCUUAUAUAGGUACAGGUAGCGCCGCUCCGAUAGAUCCUUCCGCAGAAACGCCGAGAAGGGACUACUUUUCGCAGCCCUCCUGCCCUCUGAAGAGAAACCCCAGACUCAACUAAUUCCACUCAUAAAAUGCUCUCCUGUGAAGACUGGAGCUUUGGGGCCGAAUCUGGCGCGGAGCGGGCCGCCGUCCCGAGAGGCCUGGCGGAGGGAUCAGCGCGCUCGUUGAGCGCUGCGUCCGCGGACUUGCCCCGGGCUCGAAUUAAGGGGAGGGAGAGUGGGGGGCGGGCGGCCUGAAAACCCGGCGUGGAGUCGCUCAGACGUCCGGAGCGGGCCGUCUCCACCGCCCGGCCUUUAUGCCCCCUCCCCCCGGCCCGGACGGGCCCCGCCGUUCGCGAGGCCCGCCCUAGGCGUACAGGGCUCCGGCCGAGCGCCUCACACCGAGUCGGGGUCCCGCUUGCCCAGCGCACACCCCGCCC